rnacentral:rRNA from 1 species
CCUACGGGAGGCAGCAGUCGAGAAUCAUUCACAAUGGGGGAAACCCUGAUGGUGCGACGCCGCGUGGGGGAAUGAAGGUCUUCGGAUUGUAAACCCCUGUCCUGUGGGAGCAAAUUAAAAAGAUAGUACCACAAGAGGAAGAGACGGCUAACUCUGUGCCAGCAGCCGCGGUAAUACAGAGGUCUCAAGCGUUGUUCGGAAUCACUGGGCGUAAGGCGUGCGUAGGCUGUUUCGUAAGUCGUGUGUGAAAGGCGCGGGCUCAACCCGCGGACGGCACAUGAUACUGCGAGACUAGAGUAAUGGAGGGGGAACCGGAAUUCUCGGUGUAGCAGUGAAAUGCGUAGAUGUCGAGAGGAACACUCGUGGCGAAGGCGGGUUCCUGGACAUUAACUGACGCUGAGGCACGAAGGCCAGGGGAGCGAAAGGGAUUAGAUACCCUUGUAGUC